rnacentral:lncRNA from 1 species
GCACAACAUGCAAACUGAAGAGAUACAUGCAAGUCGCAUUAUUGUGUGUCCAAGAAAGAUGGGAAGAUCGGCCUACCAUGUUGGAGGUCUCAUCAAUGCUCAAAAAUGAGAAUGAGAUUGUGCCUACUCCAGGUACACCUGCUUUCUCAACAAAUCAAGAUGAAGAAGACCAACAAAAAUAUAGCAGUAGUUCACAUGCAGAAGUUUAUUCAGCUAAUAUGGAAACAAAUUCCGAACUAGUACCGCGAUGAUGGUUCAGGUUUUCAGCAAAUUAAUGCUUUGAAUGUUUGACAUCUUCAGGCACG